rnacentral:rRNA from 1 species
ACGAACGCUGGCGGCGAGCUUAACACAUGCAAGUCGAACGGAAAGGCCCUGCUUUUGUGGGGUGCUCGAGUGGCGAACGGGUGAGUAACACGUGAGUAACCUGCCCUUGACUUUGGGAUAACUUCAGGAAACUGGGGCUAAUACCGGAUAGGAGCUCCUGCUGCAUGGUGGGGGUUGGAAAGUUUCGGCGGUUGGGGAUGGACUCGCGGCUUAUCAGCUUGUUGGGUGGGUAGUGGCUUACCAAGGCUUUGACGGGUAGCCGGCCUGAGAGGGUGACCGGCCACAUUGGGACUGAGAUACGGCCCAGACUCCUACGGGAGGCAGAAGUGGGGAAUAUUGCACAAUGGGCGGAAGCCUGAUGCAGCAACGCCGCGUGCGGGAUGACGGCCUUCGGGUUGUAAACCGCUUUCGCCUGUGACGAAGAGUGAGUGACGGUAAUGGGUAAAGAAGCACCGGCUAACUCCGUG